CCUAAAGCCGCUGAUGCUCUCGGGGCAGGAGCCGCUUGGCAGCCCAAGUGAGCCAAGCAGAGGGGCACGAAGGAGCCCAAGCACGAGAUGCUGAGAUGUAUGCAGGGAAUGCAACAUGACAAACUGCUAGGGCUGGUUAAAUUGGGACUUAGUUAAUUAUAGCCAUUUAAAUUGGGUUCUGACUCAGAUUUUGAUUUCAUAGUGGCAAGAUGACAGCCUGGAGAAGGUGUUUGCAAAUGGCUGACUCAGAGGAUGAUGAUCAGCACCACGGUGCCUUCUGCCUCUGCUAGUACUAUGUGUUUGUAGAAGUGAUGUUAGAAGGUGACAGUUGCCAGUUCAGCUCCACCCCUUGAUCUGCUCACCAGAGAUUAUGAAGCCUUGGAAAGAGAAAGUGAGCAAGUGGAGGAAGGAGCAUAUUAAUUGGGUCUCAUCCAAAGGACCCCGCUACAGAGAACCCAUUUAAUCUACUUUAGAAGGAUGAAGGGCAGAGCCAACCCUGCUAAGAUUUGAACCUACCACUCCAGGGAGCCUAAUUAUUGCAAAUGUGGCUCUUAGACCACUAAACCCUUCCCUCCUGCUCUAAUCACCUCUCAAAGAGCUCCUUUUGAUCCGAGAAGGCUACGCAGCACCUACGACAAAGGCAAAGCGUUUAACAAAGUCUCUGUUGGACUUGGUGAUCCUGAGGGUCUUUACCAAUUUGGAUGUGAUAUAAAAUUGAGAAACAAUAUAUGGAAAUUCUAAUUCCUUCCUGGACAAAGGAACUGCCCAGAAGGGACUCAAAGCCUCUCUCUCUUCCAGACAGACAAAACAAUCAGCAAUGCUUACUUAUUAUCUGUCAGUGGAAGGAGAAGCAAAGAAAAGAAGCAUCCCAGAGAAAGGAGAAGCUAAGAGAGGAAGCAACCCAGAGCAAAGGAGAAGCUAAGAAGCAUCCCAGAGCAAAGGAGAAGCAAAGAGAAGAAGCAUCCCAGAGCAAAGGAGGAGCAAAGAAGAAGCAAAGAGAAGAAGCAUCCCAGAGAAAGGAGAAGCUAAGUGAAGAAGCAUCCCAGGGCAAAGAAGAAGCUAAGAGAAGAAGCAUCCCAGAGCAAAGGAGAAGCUAAAAGAAGCAGCAUCCCAGAGCAGAGGAAAAGCAAAGAGAAGAAGCAUCCCAGAGCAAAGGAGAACCUAAGAGAAGAAGCAUCCCAGAGCAAAGAAGAAGCAAAGAGAAGAAGCAUCCCAGAGCAAAGGAGAAGCUAAAAGAAGCAGCAUCCCAGAGCAAAGGAGAAGCAAGGAGAAGCAGCAUCCCAGAGCAAAGAGGGACAAGUUAAUCACAUUUUGGCUUUUUAUGCCUUUUAUCCCUUUAGCAUUUAGCAUCCCCUAAUGAUUCAGACUUUAUCAUCAUUUUCUUCUUGCAACCACUGAUCUAAUUUCUCUCGUUAGAACAUUCCAAUCAACCUCAAAACAGCAUAGAGACUGCUAAAGCAUCCUCAAAAAUAUAGGUCAGAAGCCAUUGCAAAACUACCAUGAGGAACCAGUUCAUUUACUGCUUGACAGCUGCAGUGGGUGGGGCUGGGGAAGAAUGCAUCUCGGGGUCCCUGAAGAGCUUGCAGUGCAGAGCUGCCCAGAACAGUCUGGAUUGCAUCAAUAAACAUUAAAAUAUCACUGGCACUGCAACUUUCAUUAAAAAGAAACCCCAAACAACACCCCCCCACAAAA